rnacentral:tRNA from 1 species
GGAGGAGUACCCAAAUGGUCACGGGAGCGGGUUGCUAACCCGUAGGGGUCUAAAAGCCCCUUGUGGGUUCGAGUCCCACCUCCUCCG